UGCUCAUAAGCCCGCUGACCUUUGGCGUUUACUUCCUGCUGCCCUGAUAAUGGCUGCUCGCGGCGUGGGGUUAUUGACCCGUUUGCCCGUGUGUUCCCAGAGACGGAACCGAAUCCCGCGCUCUAUUUCCAGGCUCCUCAGUUGUCCAGGGACUAUUGCGGCGAGCAUCGGGAGCGAAGAACAGUCUUCGGUGGUUGCGGAAACAGGCAUUGAAGACAAGACCCUCCAAAAGAAAUUCUCUGAGGUGCAGAAAGAGAGAAGAGAACAGGCCCAGCGGACUGUUUUGAUACAUUGUCCAAAUAAUAUCAAUGAGAAAAAAUUUCUCAAGUAUUUAUCCCAGCAUGGACCAGUCAAUAAUCAUUUCUUCUACGAGAGCUUUGGUCUCUUUGCUGUUGUAGAAUUUUGCCAAAAAGACAGUAUAAAGUCAUUGCAGAAUGGAACACAUACUCCAACCCAGAGCACAGAGGCUGCAAUUCCAUUUAAGUCACGGUUCUUGAACUUAAGGCUGAAGAAUCCGUCUAGCCAAGUAUCUGGACAGCCAUUUGUACAGACAACCAACCAGUCACCUCCUUCAAGCAAAAAGCUCUUUGAAUUACUGAGUUAUGCAGAAAGCAUAGAGGAGCAGCUGAACACUCUCCUGAAGGCCUUCCAGCUCACAGAAGAGAAUAUCAGGCUCCGCCAUCUCACCUGCUCUCUGAUUGAGGACAUUGCUGCUGCAUAUUUUCCCAGCUGUGUCAUCCGGCCCUUUGGCUCCUCAGUGAACACAUUUGGCAAAUUAGGAUGUGAUUUGGACAUGUUUUUAGAUCUAGAUGAAACUGGAAAACUUGAUGUUCACAAGAAUACAGGGAAUUUUUUUAUGGAAUUUCAAGUGAAAAACGUUCCUUCAGAAAGAAUUGCAACCCAGAAGAUCCUAUCUGUAAUAGGAGAGUGCCUUGACAAUUUUGGCCCUGGCUGUGUGGGUGUUCAGAAGAUACUCAAUGCUCGAUGUCCACUGGUGAGAUUCUCCCAUCAGGGCUCUGGAUUCCAGUGUGAUCUGACUGCUAACAAUAGUAUUGCUUUGAAAAGUUCCGAACUCCUUUAUAUAUAUGGCUCCCUGGAUUCGAGAGUAAGAGCUUUGGUGUUCAGUGUGCGAUGCUGGGCUCGGGCACAUUCAUUAACAAGCAGUAUUCCUGGUGCUUGGAUUACAAACUUCUCCUUAACAGUGAUGGUCAUCUUUUUCCUCCAGAGAAGAUCACCUCCCAUUCUUCCAACUCUAGAUUCCCUAAAGUCCAUAGCAGUCUCAAAGUCCUCAGCCCGAGUCAGGCCUCCUCUGGCCUGCUGUGACCCCCUUCUCCCAGCAUAGAGGACUCCCCUGGCAUCAUCCCACAGUUUUCUUCCCUGCCCUUCAGCUCCUGAGUACUAAUGGAGGUUUUUCAUAAGCAGUACCCUUCAGAACCUCUAGAACUUUGCAAACCACUGUUCAGUGCCUAGGAUAAGGUGAAAGCCUACAUUCUCAGCAUUGCCUAUUCUCUUUCUCCUGGGGCCUCUUCUCUUGCUCGUCUCGGGUGGUCGUGCCCUCUCUGUACCUGCUCAUUCACCUCUCCCCACCCGUGCCUGCUGUGCUCUCUGUCAUGCCACUGUCUAUGGAGAACUGCCACAAGAUGAGUCAGGACAGCAAAAAGACAGACUGUACUGAGUGGCUCUCAUUUGCCAGGCUUGCCUGGCCUUGCUUCCUGCCCUGCAGGAAGUGGUACUGUGUGUGCCUCCAUGGGCUGGAUGCAUGUCUACUUCAGGAGUACAAUGUCGUAAGUGUGUAAUGUACUGCAGGAAUCGCAGCUGUGUUAUCUGGGGGUACUACCCUGCCAGCUCUUAAUGGCAUAGCUUGAUUUUUACCUGUUUAUUUCUUAUGUAAAAGACAUCAUUACAGAUCUGACAUUUUCAGCGUUCUUUGGGAGCAGCCACAUUAGUAAUAGUAUGUUUGUGAGUUGCUCAUUCCAUUGAGGAGAGCAGCAUAGGUAAGAUGAAGAGAAAUAUGUAGUCAGGAAGUUGAGAAAAUACAAACACAACCCUAGGGGUUCUGUUGUGUGGGUAAUUUGGAGAAAUGAGGUGGUAGUUGAAGGACAUCAUUAGCGAAAGGAUAAAUGUGAAAGAUAUUGGGGAGUAAGCAAUAUGAGAGGUAUGUGUUUGUACAUAUAGCCAGUUAGAAUAGUAUUUUCACCUUUUCUCAUUUGAGGCUGUUACAUAUUAGUUUGAGUGAACUAAAAGUGGGAAAAUAGAGACAAUAAUAAGAGUUAUUCAUCAUUCUCUUACUUUAUUAUAUAAAGUUGCAAGCCUUCACUCUGUCCAGAUCACCUUAGAACAUGUUAAGAUACCUUCUGUAGAUCUGUGGGGUUUUCUGUGGGAAGGGGAUAUUCACCUCCAUUCCUCUAGCAAACUCAUGAUGCAUUCCACUGACCCCUGCUACCUUUAUUUCUCCAAAGGAAAAACGUACAGUCUCGUCUUCUUUAAUAGAGAAAGUAAAUGUGCCAUCUCUAGUUCUCAUAUUGAUGCCUUCCCUUCAGUCUCAGACGAAAUGCGCUCUCUGGUAUUUUGGGGCUAUUCCAUGUUCCUGUCUUAUUCGUGACAACAGUUGUUCCAUAGCAUAGUCAUGAAUCAGCUGUGUACCAAAAUGUAGAACUGCCUAAAAGCCACAUUCUGAAUGCCUCCCAGAGUAUUGUCUGCAUCAGGGACUCAGGCCCAUCUCUACAAACAUUGGACCUGCUGACUCCACUUUCUGAAAAUCCCACUGAUCCAUAGCAUUUGAUUCUUCUGGGGUUUGCCCUUUAAUUUCAAUGAGUCUGAAUAAAUCAGUUUUUUCUUUUCUAGAUUGUACUUUUGAAAUUCUGUAAACUUUGCCUAACCCUAGGUGAUUAAGGUGUUCUUAAAGUUUCUUUGGUAACUUUUAUGUUUUACACUUUGUCCUGUUAUCCAUUUCAAGUUAGUUCUUUUUGGCAUGUGAAUGUCCAAUUAUUCUUUGCACUGUUUGCUUUUAAAACAAGGUACACUUUCUCCAUCGAGUUAUUUUUGUACCCUCACCAAAAAUCAAUGACAAUAAAUUGCCCAUAUUUGUGUGUACCUAUUUCUGUACUGACAUAUGUCUUUAGACGAUGUCUGUCUCCCCUUUGAGCAGUAUUGCAGUACUUGGAUUGCAGUAGCACUGUAAUGCUUACUGUGGCAUAAUAUGGCUGCUACGGGUUCAUUCUGCUCAAGCCUGCCUAUGCCUGUCUACAAAGUUAUGCCAGGCACUCAGAAGAUUUGAUGACUUACUAGGUCUAGUCCAGUUAUGUGUGCCUCUAAUUAAUGUAGUUGACAGUUUCAUGCAUAUGUAAUAUAUUCUGCUCACAUGUCUUCUUCCCUACUCCUCCACUACUACUCUCCCUUUUUCCCACCAGAUCUUCACCCUACUUUCAUUUUAGUAGUCAAAGGUGACUGUGCCUAACCUAUCAGACAGUGUCCAUGUUUGGGUGAUACUUAAAGAAGGAAAAGAACAGGAAGAGAAGAGAGGAAAAGAGUAGAAAACCAGUUUAUCAGGCUUGAAUGCUAAGAUGUGGAAAAAGCAAAGAUGGUCUUACCUUUGAGUUUCAGUAUUUUCUAUGAAAUCUUUUUAGUGAAAAGGAACACUGUGCUGGCUAGUUUUGUGUCAACUUAACACACAAAUGAGUUAUCAGAAAGAAGGGGGGCCUUAAUUGAGAAAAUACCUCCAUAAGAUCUAUAUGUAAGGCAUUUUCUUAAUUAGUGAUUAAUGAGGGAGAGCCCAGCUCAUUGUUGGUAGUUCUAUUUCUGGGCUGGUGGUCCUGUGUUCUAUACAUAAAAGCAGACUGAACAAGCCAGUAAGCAGCACCCCUUCAUGACUUCUGCAUCAGUUCUUGUCUCCAAUAUCUUCUGUCCUGACUUCCUUUGGUAAUAAACAGCAGUAUGGAAGUAUAAGCUGGGUUUUGGUCAUGGUGUUUCAUCUCAGCAAUAGAAACUCUAAGAUAAAUACGUCAGUAGAGAAAGUCUCUGGGUUUUUAAUUGAAUGUGUUUAUAGAAAUAUUUUUAAUGUGACUCUUAUUUUUCUUUGCUAGUAAUUUUUUAAAUUAGAAACAGAUUUUUUUCAUACUAUAUAUUUUGAUUAUGGUUUUCCCUCCCCAACUCCUCCCAGAUGCUCUUCGAUUCCACACUAGCCCUUGUCCACAGCUUUUUUUUUGUCUCAGAAUACAAACAGGCAGCUUAAAAAAUAAGAUAAAGUAAAAACAUACAUACAAAUAGAAAAAGCAGCUGAAGAAAAAGCACAAGUAACACACACAAAUGCCGAGACACACAUUUGCACAUGCAGAAAACACAUAAAAACAAAAUUGGAAAGCAUAAUAUAUAAGCAAAAGAUCUGUAAGAAGAAAAUAUGUCCCGACAUUGUGAGACAAAAAACCUCCAUAGAUAACACUGAGUUUGUUUUAUGUUAACCAUCUACUACUAGGCUACUAGGCUUGUGUACUCAGUGAGACUGAUUGGUCAUCAAUUGGAGAUAGCUUCUGGUAGACUAGGAGUGGGAACUUGUGUCUCAUUUCCCUCAGCCCUAGGUCCCCAUCUCGCUUAGUUAGACCUGUGCAGGCCCUGUGCAUGCUGCUAUGGUCUCUGUGAGUCCUUAUGUGAUUCAGUCCUGUUGUGCCUAUAAGGCUUUGUCUCCUUGCUGUCUUUAUUCUCUCUGUCUCUCAAGAUGUUUCUGCCUCCUCUUUGGAGGAGUUCCCUGAGCCCUGAGGGGAGGAAUUUGAUGAAGCUAUGUAGAUGAUGUCUUCAGGAAUAGGCCUUAUUAUCAGUUUGUAGAGAGCAACCAAUAGCCUUGGCAGUAACCUGGGUUGUUUAGGGGUUUCCAUGGGGCCCUUUGUUAGUAAUGUUAUAAGUCAGAGACAUAUUCCUGGGGGUGGGGGCACAGCUGCUGAAAGACAGUGAAUUGCCAUGGGCUGGCCUCAGUUGGUCCCUCAACCCUGCGGGAGAAAUCAGGUUCCCAGUACUCAGGUGGGCAAGGAGUUGGCGAAUGACAGACAUGAACACCAGAGUGCUAGAUCUGAACGUAAUUUCUCAACAUGAGCAUCAGACUUAUAAUAUAGAAGAAAAAAGGAAGUUAGGCAAAUACAUCAGUCAAGGUACAUCGAGAUGCAAAAUGACUUUACACAAAACAGAGAAGUGCAUACAUGAAGGCUGACAGGAACCAGGCAGUAUUUACAACUGAGAUAAGAUCACCCCUAUCUAAAGUCAGUUAUUCACAGGAGCCAGAUGAAAGGGCUAAUAUGCCCAGGUGCAAUUCUAGUCUAUUGUUUAACCCACCACCGGGGGUCCCUUAGUAAAUACUUAAUUAUGCUAUUCCUCUGGGCCUAGUGAAAAUCAUCCACCAGGGGAGUUCCAUUCUACUAACCCUUUCAUGGGUGGUAAUGUGUUGACUUUGUGUUGUUAUAGCUUUGGGCAUGUGGUAAGGCUGCACACAGUAGUGGAGGAUACACUGGAAUUUUAUAGGAUAUAGACAUGUGCCUGGUCCUGCAGGAUGUAAGCAAUGGGGGUCUCAGGGAAGGGAGCAACAAUGACAAAUUUGGGAUCAGGAGACUGGAAGGAAGGAGACAAGACAAAAAUUCUGUUCAAGUCUCAGUUUACUCUAGGGAAACAAAGGGAUUAAAAAUCUACAAACCACAAAGGUGUUUGCCCAGGUGCAUGGCCUAAACCAGUAUUAUUGCUUGGUUACACAAUAAUGUAAGUGGAAUGUCCCAUUGUAAAGAGUCCAGAAAGGAAUGUCCUCAUUAUAAAAGGUUCGGAAAGCUUCCUAUCAUAAAAUGUCCCAAGUCAUUUGCGGGAAUGAAAGCAAGAUAGUGGAAGAAAUCAGAGUGUUUGUUAAUAGAUGAUGGCCCAGGGACAAGAUGGAGGCUGAGAUGCCAGGGGCAUUUGGGCCCCAACAGACAUGAGCAGAAGAGGAAAAGGUGGGUCCCUCUGUUUCUUCCCUUCAAGGGCAUGUAUGUCCUCAAUAUGUGUUUACCACCUCCCAAGAUCACCAAGCUGAGAAUAAGUCUCUAACCCAUGGGCCUUUGGGGGACACUCCAGAUUCAAAUGGGAACAGUAGAACAUAUAACAUUGCAAGGGAAAUAAUGUCGAUCUUAUUUUGUUAAAAAAAAAUGUAAAAAAACAUAAAAGAGAGAGAGGAUUGAAGGAACCUUAUCUCUUUCUAGUUUUCCCCUGGGAAUUAUAGACAUCCACAGUCGUUCAAAUUAUAAAGUGUCUGCUAUACAAUAGAUAUGGUUGUGGGUCAAACUAGGAGAGAGAUAAUCAUAGGAGAGUGGUCUUUUUAUUCCUAGACUGGGGCAGUCUGGUGACAGACAUCAUGCCUAUAAUCAAAAUGCAGUCAGGUAAGUUUCAGUAGAGGAUGGCUUAUAUUAGGAAAUAGUCAAACAGGAGGCAGCUGCUGAUCAGCCUUGUGAGAUUGGAGUUGUUUUUGAGAAACAUCAUGUAGGGUACCUGGUAGAUUUCAUGGUACUUGUGGACUUAGCAAAAAUAAAGAAAAUUACUCCAUCUUAAGAUAAAUGCUAGUAGGAAAGUGAAUGCCUGGUUUAAUAUAUUCUUACUUAGUUUGUUUCCCGAAUUACUAAAUUUUGAUCACUCUGGAUUUCCUCAUUUGAUAAAUUAACAAUUUUAAAACCUUUUAGAACAACUAGUUUGAAUCAUUGAAAACUGCCUGUUUUUAUAACUAGAAAACUCAUUACUUCAGAAGAUGAGUUAAAAUCUUUGAGUUGCUAGACUCUAAUUUUAGUACAGUGAAAGAAAUGUAGCAUUGUGUCCACUGUUGUGUAAUCAUUUCAAAUCCUUUGUAAGUGGAGUUGUAAAACCUAUGAACUAAACUACAUAUAACACAACUAAUGAUAGUACAUUGGAAUUUAACUGGGCUAAUUCACAGUUCUGAAGGGGGAAAUAGUUUACAGGAUGAAACUCUCUUUCUGUGUAUUUAAGAUGCUGAAGAUAGAUGUAUUCUAGAGGGGAACAAUUGUACAUUCGUCCAGGAUGUGAAUAAAAUUCAACCUUCUGGAAACACAGAAACAUUAGAAUUACUAAUAAAGGAAUUUUUUGAGUAUUUUGGCAAUUUCGCUUUCAAUAAAAAUUCCAUAAACAUUCGACAGGGAAGGGAACAAAACAAGCCUGAUUCCUCUCCUCUAUACAUCCAGAAUCCUUUUGAAACAUCUCUCAACAUAAGCAAAAAUGUCAGUCAGAGCCAGCUACAAAAAUUUGUGGAACUGGCAAGAGACAGUGCCUGGAUUUUGGAACAGGAAGAUAAGAAUCAGCCUUUUUCUUCGAGUAGGCAACCCUGGGGACUGGCUGCCCUCCUGCUGCCACCGGGGUCAGGCCACACAUCUCUCUCCCGGAAGAAGAAGAAAAAGCCGAUGAGUGAAAAAGUCAAAGGCUUGUUAGCAUCCAUAAAAAGUAACAGCCCUGACAGUUCCACAGAUACCAGUGGAAAGAGAACAAUUAGUACACAGGCAUGAUGCAGCCUUUUGAACUUCUGGGAAGAACUGCCACUAAAUGUUCAUAGGCCUUAACAGUUAUAUAUCUGAUGUCAUCAUGCUUUUACUCGAUCUGAAGUUCUGGAUAUUUCCUUCCGAUCAGAUGGAGUUUAUUAAAAUAUCACUGGCAAAAAAUUGGCAAAAGGCAUAUUUGAACUCUGCAAAGUGAAUCGUAAAAUGAAUUUUACAGCAACCUGGUUGAUAAUUCUGUCACUCUCUAGUUGAAAAUCAUUUCAAAACCCUUUCAGUUAUCUUCAUCUAUAGGUGACGAAUGCAAUAAAGCUCCAAAAUUUGAUAGUACUCUCUAGUAUCUAUUUUCUAUUUUUCAAUCAAAGUUCUCUUAUUAGGUGUUUUGUCUUCUAAUUAGUAUAUAAAGCAUUGGGCUUGUAUCCCAUCAGGCUUUCUAUGCUUUGUCUUUGUUGAUUUUGGUUUUCCUGCCCCUUGCAUACCCUCUCUCACUUUUCUUCCCCCACUAGCCCUCAGUUGGGUUCUGCUUCAUGUAGGAGUGACUGUUCUGCUACUCCUCCUCUUCCCCUCCCUGUAAGAUCUUCCCCAAAAGGUCCCCAGAGUUUCAUACAUGCUUCACACAUAAUCCCAACUUUCACACAGGAGAGGAAAUGUACAGCUCUAGCCUCCCGGGUCAGAGCUACUUCAAGCGAAGUUCCCCGUUGCCAGUUAGACAGGUUGGGUUUGAUUUCCCAAACUGGGUCUCUGAUACAUAAAAGCGCAAACACUUUAGUCAGUGUAUUCUGUGUUCCAAUCAGAUAUGUAGAAUUGUGGAUAUAUUGUACUUUCAAGUCAUAUUUUAUUUUUGUUUUCAAGAAUAAAACCCUGUUUCUACUGAAUUGUGAUAACAGUAUUUCUAAUAUUUCUUCACUUCUGCUUUUGAGAUCUCUCUGUGUAAGAAAUGGUAUAUACACAGAGAAAUAUGUUUUACAUUUUAUUCUGUAGCUUUCCUUCUGAGAUAGAGAUGGUGCAGUUUAGAAAUGUAUAAUGGUUAUGAGGUACAAGGAAGGUGUUGGCCAAAACCUGUCACACAGUCAGUGUUUAAUGACAAACCUUGGAGCAGGGACAAGCACUAUAUUCACUCCUAUUCUCUAUGAUCUGUGCAUAUGCAGCAUGCAGUUAUCUACGAAUAUGGUCCGUGCUGUGCCAUUUUACACUCCUGAGGUUCAUGUUAGUCCCUGGAGUCUUAGCACUUAGAGGAUGCUCAGCUUGUUCUCAGCAAUGCUCCUGCUCUUGCUUUUGACUGGGGACAUUGGAGGCAGAACACCAGGUCUUGUGUGUCCUGGGCAAGCACUUGUCACAAGAUAAAUCUUAGCCCCUACUACUCAUUAGAGUUCAUAGUCUUUAAUAUUUUUCCUGCCAUUCAAAUUUUACCCUUAGAGCUUGUAGUGGUAAACUUAAAGUUUUUGGACAGAAUUCUAAUGAGUUGGAUGAUUUCGGGAAAGUAUGUUUCUGAAGGGAGUCUGCCCACAGAGCUGUGAUCUCACAUCUGAAGGCAGGCCAGUGGCAGUUUUCUUCUACAGGUAUUCAGCAAAGGCUGCUUUCAUUUGUUCUUGAAGCUCAUUUAGUUGAUAGGCUGUUUUGAACUCCUAGCCUAGGUGUGGCAGUAGAGGAAGGCUGUGUUUGCAUGUCUGAAUAAGAAGAGCAGAGACAUCUGUAGCAAAGCCACAGGAAGGUACAGUAGCUUCACUGUGAGUUCUCUGCUUCCCAGAGCUUGGCAUCGGAUGGGUGAGUAGCCGUUAAUGUUCAGUCUCUGCUAACUGGUAAGAGAUUACUAAAAAUGUUAUAGAUAGCAUUUCUGUCUGACAUGAUUGGAUCAGUAGGGUCGAUAGACAGGGAGGGGGGAUUAUCCCAGGGAAGGAAAGGAGUCAGGAGUGAGUGUUAGAGACCAGGACAUCUACAUUGCUGCUUAAGAGUUGAGCAAGGCUGUUGUGCUGCUUUGAUUGUUUUUUGCUUGUUUGUUUCUUUUUUUGUUUUGUUUUGUCCAAUUUGAUUAGAACCUAGACAUAUCUGGGAAGAGGGAAUUUUCAUUGAGAAAAUGCUUCUAUAAGAUUGGCCUGUAGACAGGUCUGUGUGACAAUUUCUUGAUUAACUGUUAAUGUGGAAUGGCCCAGUCUUUUGGUCAGUGCCACCGUGGGCCAGUUGUCCUGGAUGUAUAAGAAAACGAACUGAACAAGACACAAGCAUGCCAGUAAGCAGCAGUCUCUUGACAUCUGCUUCAGUCCUGCCUUCAGGUUCCUGCUCAAGUUCUUCCCUGACUUCCCUCACCUGUUGUAUACGACGAAAUAAACCUUGCCUCCCCAUGUUGACUUUGGUUAUGGUGCUUAGUAGAGCAAUAGACAUAACUAAGACAGUUUUGAAAGACUGCUAACUGCAUAAUGGUAUUUUCCAUGGUAACAGCUCUGUACCAGGGCAUAAUUAGUGUUUGCAGUUGAUCAUUAGAUCCAACCAACUAGACUUAGUAGUAAAUUGAAUGCCAUAGGCUCCAUCACUAACUUAGAUGAAGGUUGGCCUUCAGCUUUGCAUGACUCUUCAUGUUUUGCUGAAGAGACGACCCUCAGCAGUAAGUACAGGGAUCAUAGGAUUUGGUGUGAACUCUUGUUAACAAGGACUUCUUAGUAGUACAUACUUGGAAGAGAAUAAAACAACCAGAAAUUAUUUUCACCUUGGUAUAGCAUUGGGAUGUUUAUUUGAAAUGUUUAGGUUUAUUUUGGUUUCCAUCCUGAAUCCAGUUAUUUGCAGAUACAGAUGGCAGAAGAUUCAAACGUGAGAGUGAGCCUCAGGAAUUCCCAUGGAAUAGCUCCACGAAAGGUCUGCUGCAAAGAACAUUCUUCAUCUGCAGUGUCAAGUCCCCCAAUUAUUUACUUUGCCUGUAAACGUGAUGCACCCACCCACCUUUACUUACUCACUGGCUCUAAAGGUGAAAUUUGCUUUUUUCUUUUUCUUUUUAAUGUCCAUUUCAUGAGAAUUAUGUUAAAACGUUUUCCUUCUACAACAAAACUUAAGUUAUUUUGAUCUUCUGAUAGCUCUGGAAUAAGGCAGUGUUUCAGAAGCCAUGUGGCUGUAGGAUGGAAGCUGUGUAAGUGUAAUUGAAUGUAAAUGUCUCAUCAUGUCUCAUUGUUUUAAAGCCUUUUGUAGUUGCUAUUUCUUGCUUGAGAAUCCCCAGCCCAUAAAGCCUUAGAGGAGCAAAGACAGGCAGAUCCUGGAGAUUGGCAGCCAGCCAGUCGAACUUGAGAGCUCCAGGUCCAGUGGCAUCCGAUCUGAAGGGACUAAGAAGAGUGGAAGAAGAAGACAGUGACAUUGACCUCUGGCCAGCACACAGGUUUGUGCACCCACAUGCUUGGGCACAAAUACCCACCCAUGUAAUUCUAAAAGAAAUUAAAAUGCAUACUUGAGA